UUCAUCCCUCUCUCUGUCUCAGAUUAUCACAUAAUCAGAUUCCCAGCGUCCUGCAGACCUCAGCGGAUUACACCCACCUCUCGCUCCGGAGCACGGACACAGCAGGGUACAGAGAGAAACUACUGAGACACGAGUACAUACAGCCAGAAGACUGUACAAGCACACAGACGAGCUCACAUCUGACAGAGACGCUGCACAUGCAAAGAACAUGAGUACAUACAGCCAGAGGAGGGUACAAACCGGUCAGAUUAGGGUGAGAAAAUCACACAGAAUGAGGUGUAACAUCAGUCAGAUGAGGGUAAAAUCACUGACAUGAGGUGUAAAUUAAAAAGGUAAAUAAAUAGCCUACAGAGGGAUGGUGUAAAGUCAGAGUAAAGAGUAAAGAAACGAGUGAACAGAGACUGAUCAGGUGUUGAUACACUGCUUGAGAAGCGCGUGGAUCAGACAGAAGAGCUGGAGGUGACAUCGAUGAGAUAUCGGAGCAGAUGUAAAUGUGGAUUGAGACUGCGGUGUAUCGAUGCUAGCUUUCACACACACACACACACACACACACACACACACACACACACACACACUAGUGUCACAUGAUCUUCAGAAAUCAUUCUAAUAUGAUGAUUUGCUGUUCGAGAAACAUUUAUGAUUAUUAUCAAUGUUGAAAACAUUCAUAUUUUUGUGGAUUCUUUCAUGAACAGUGUUUUAUUUUUUUGUAAAAUAGUAUAAUUUCUAACAUUAUGAAUCCAGAAGAUAAUCGUGCCGUGUGUCUGCAGUUUCCAGCCGCACAUCGAGGAGAGCGUGAGGCAGAUGGGAGAUAUUCUCAGUCUGGUGAAAGGAGCAAACGUACCUGCUAAUGGCAACGGCAGCUUAGCACAGGACGCCGACAACGUCCUGCAACCCAUCAUGGACUUCCUGGACAGCAAGUAAGCGACACUGAAACUGCAGUUUGUCAGGCUUUGAGCUACUCGUAAUUAAAACGAGUUAAACUAGAGUCAGGAAGAUGACUACACUAGUAAAGAUGACUCGAAGCAACGUGUUCAGUGAUUGGUUGCAUCCACUGCCAGAUGACAUUUUUAACAUGUGAACAUGCCAAUAACAGAAAUAAAAAUAAUAAUAGUAAUAAUAAAAAUAUAUAAAAAGUAUUAAGCAUGUAGUGCAAAAUGAAUUAGUGUAAGUGUAUAAGUUAGAAAUAAAAUACGAUAUAGUAUUAGAUUUACAGAGGCAAUAUAAUAGAGUAAUAUGGCAUGUGUGGACACAUCAGAUCAGGGCAGGUGAGUGUUUCUCUUCUCUGGGGACAGACAGACACAUAUUGAGCAGCAAACACACAGCAGUUCUUGUGUUCUCCUCACAGAUACCACAGUUUCUCCUGGUCUGAGAGAGUUUUAAAUGUCUGAUGGAUCUGCUGUAUUUGAUCACAGAACACUGUCCGUAUGUCCGUGUGUUUGGAGCAUUCUGUGAGGAAGUGCAGUUCUGUUUCCAUCUGAUUCAGAUCACAGUGUGAACACAAUCUCUGUCCGUCUCUAUCAUCAGCUUGUGUCCGCUGAGUCUGUAUCUGGUCAGUGUGCGGACUGAAGCUCUGGAUCAGCUGCUUUCUUUGCUCAUCUCUUGGUGUUGCAGGGCUUUAUAAUGAUAUGAUUGGGGGUCACUGAGUUUCAGAUGUUUCCAGAAUUUAAUUGCCCUUUUUUGUAUCUUUAUGAUUAGAGGAUAUUUGCCUAAUUCUGCCCUGCAUGUGUUAUUUGUUGUGUGCCGGUGCGGGUGUAAUUUAUUUUUACAGAGUUCUGCAUGCAGGGUCUCAGUUGGAUGUUUUUCCCAUUUGGUGAAAUCUUGAUUUGGAUUCGUCAGUGGACCCACACCUCACUGCCAUAGAGGACAACGGGCUCAAUUACUGAUUCUAAUAUUUUCAGCCAAAUUCUAAUAGGGAUGUCUAUAGGACAUUGGCGUUUUAUGGCAUAGAAGGCCCUGCGUGCUUUAUCUCUCAGUUCAUUCACAGCUUGAUUAAAGUUUCCUGUGGAUGUGUUUUUCAAACGCAGGUAGUUGUAGUGUGAUGUGUGUGUUAUCUGGUUAGUGCCUAAUGUUCCCUGGGAUCUGGAUCUGAGAGAUCAUGAUUUUGGUUUUCUUCAGGUCUGGCAGUAUUGUUCUAGAGGUCCAGGUUCUGCUGUAAAGCAUGUUGAGUGGAGACCGCAGAAGCAGAUCUGAUCUGUGAGGUGUGUAGGGUGAUCGCUCCAGACUGA
rnacentral:lncRNA from 1 species